AACAAAAAAAAAAAAAAAACCCACCACCAAAACACCAAUGUAUGUCCGGUAGACAAUAUACCCAGACCUCUUUUUCAUCAGAGAAGUUGAGCUUGUGAAUAUCUAUCAAAAGUCGAUGUUUGUCCUGACAUUAUCUUCAUUACACCCUUGUUCACCUUUGGCCAGAAUCAGGAGAACCAUCUUCAUAAGACACCAGGCCCCUCUUUCCAUUAGGACUUCCUGAUGAUGACCUAGACCUGUCUCUGCUCACUCGUUUGGGAGACUGGGAGUCCAAUGACGACUGCGAUACUGAUGGGCUCCGGCUACAAGGAGACCUCUCAGCCUGUGGGGAGCCACGAAAUCUAGGUGCAUUAACUGGGGAAAGACUCUUAACUGGGCUACGACUAGGACUGUAGCGACGAUUACGGUAGCGAGGGCUUCGUGAUAACGACGGGCUCCUUGUUCUGCUUCUCCUGCCUCUGUAUCUGGGAGGAGUUCUUCCUCUUGGUGGGCUUCUAUACCGCCUAGGUGAAUACCUCCUGUAAUUUGAAUAUCUAGAAAGAAUCACCAACAAUUAAUGAGUAAGGCUGUUGACACUGACUUCAAAAUCUUAAAGAAAAAUGAAACGCAUGGUUAAACAUGGAAUCUUGAACCAUCAGAUAGCAAUAGACACGAGUAAGAAAUGUCAACCAAAAAAACAAGGUAAAAGUAUUGAUAAAUAAAAGGGCUCAAACUAGACACCUGUCACGGUCGCUUCUGCCGCUAUAUCGAUAUGAUCUAACAGGAGAGCGAUCUGGAGAAGGCGUUCUGUAUCGCCGAGCAUAAGAGUAACGUUGACUAAAACCACGCCCUCUUCUGAUGCGUUUGGGAGACCCAUCAGGGGAGACACUUCUUGACAAACUUCUUCGAUCAGGAGGAGAUCUUACCCUAUGUAUGGGGCUAGGGCUCCUUGAAUAGCUCCGUCGAUUGUUCCUGGUUGGAGCCCUAAUUGGACUUCUACUAGCACUUCUCCUCGAAGGAAUCCUACCCGAGCUUCUACUAAUGCUUCUGCGAGAUGAUCUAACUGGGCUUCUGCUUGCACCUCUCCGAUAAGACCUAACAGGGCUUCUGCUAAAUCCUCUUCGAGAGGAUCUAACAGGGCUUCUGCUAAUAGGUUUUCGUGAUGAUGCUCUAGGUGGGCUUCUGCUAAUAGAUUUUUGUGAUGAUGCUCUAGGUGGGCUCCUGCUCCUGCUCCUGCUUCUUGGAGGAGGGGAUCUCAAAGGGCCCCUGCUUGUGCUUCUUGGAGAACGGGAUCUCACAGGACUCUUGCUAAUGCUUCUAGCCCUUCUUCCCCUCACUGGACUUCUGCUGACACUUCUAGCUGGACUCCUGCUGCUACCACUUCUAGCAGGACUUCUGCUGAAACUCCUCUGCGAGAUACGUGGAGGACUCCUCCUCAUAGUUCUCCUCGGACUAACACUAGGGCUCUUGCUCAGACUCUUUCUGGGACUAAUACUCAUACUCUUACUCAUGGUCCUCUUGGGACUUAAGCUUCGGCUCCUAGAUUUGCCUGGAUGAUCAUCUACCACAUCAGGUAGUCUAUCUUCACUUCUGUCAGAUGUAGCAUCUGCCUCAAUGCCAUUGCUUCGCCGCCCUCCAUUUUCUUUGGGGGAUUCACCUUCUUCCUUUUCAAGCAUAACAUGUUCUUCCCUUAUUUUAUGGGAAAGGGAAGCAUCUUCUUCCUCCAAAACCAUAGGAGACUGAUCCCCAACAGUUUUCAAAGAAGGGUCUCUACGCCUUCGAGCUUUUGCCUGGACUUCAAGAGCAUCAUCAUCAGAGCUGCUUCCACUUUCACUCUCACUAUCACCAUCAGUAAGGCUAUCUGACACCCUUCUUGAUCGACGUUUGGAUCUCUUAUCACGUCUCUUUCGCCUUUUUUCACGCCGUUUAUCUCUUCUUUUUCCACGUCUAUACUUGUCUCUUUUAGAAGAUCUUUUUCUUUUCUUGCGCCUGUCAUCACUUGAGGAACUAAUCUCAGAAGAGGAGGAUAUAUACGAGUCAGAAUCACUAUCAGACUCAGAUGAUCCCAUAUCUGGAUCAGAUGAACUCUCUGACUCAGACGAAUCAUAUCUUUUUCUCCUCUUCUUUCUAUCUCUUGAAAAUUUCUUGUGCCUUCCCUUCUUACGUGCUUCAUGACUAUCAGAAUCAGAUAAAGCAUCCUUUCCAGUUUUCAGUUUAUGUACUUUCUUCUUGUCCACACCCUCAAAUUCACCACAAUUGAUUAUUUUUACAGUUACCAAUGGCCUCCCUUCUUCAUCACCUACACUUUCAAUCUUUUUCAGCACUUCAUCUCCUUGCACAAGCUUCCCAAAGACUACAUACUUCCUAUCAAGAUGAUGAUUAGCCUUAAAGCUAACAAUAAAAUGAGAACCAAAAGUGUCACGAUCAGCAAUUGACAUUGACAGAAGACCAGGACCAUCAUGCUUAAGCCUUGGAGUCUCAUCUGGAAACUUUCCCCCAUAUAUGCUCUCCCCGCCAGACCCAUCGCGUUUAACAAAAUCACCACCCUGCAAGACAACCACAAACUAUUAGUCUACUGGUAAGCAGAAACAUACAUGUGUUUAAAAUUCGGCAGGACACUAUAAGCAUAGUAAAUUUUGAGGAUGGACAACUCAGUAAGUACAACCUUAAAACUACAUCACAAGAAAAGCAGUCGUGACCAUCAGCCCUGUGUCCUACAGCAUAAACAAGGGUAACUGACAGACCACUUCUAAGCCACGAUGAACAAGAAAACUAAGCACAUAAGCAAAUUUAGAACCACCCUACAUAAUGAACAUCUUAAUGUACACAAGAUAUAAAAACAAACCUGAGCCAUGGAACCCUUAAUAAUGCUAUGGAAAAAUGACCCUUUGUAAUGCAACGGCUUUCCAGUUUUAGGACCAAUUCCCUUCUCCCCUGAAGAUGUGCAGAUAAAAUCAGAAAAACUGCUAAUUGACUGGAAAUAUUACUUUGAAUAAUCAAUACCCACCUCCAUUAUUUAAAUACCAAUCAAAAUUAGGUAGCUGAAAAUUUUGCAUAAGAAUAAGGCUUGGCGUCCAAAAAAGCUAUCAUACUAUCAAUCAUCAACAAAACUUGCAUAUACAAGACAACCAUUGCAAGAAAAGACAUCAUCAAAAAACUAAUUUAGCACUUAUUUAUCACCUGUACAAAGGGCACGGAAAUUUUCUGCAGUCUUGGGAGCAAUAUCAGGGAAAAGCUCAAAAGCCAUCCUUUCACAAGGAUCACCAUCAAUGGACACGUCCAUAAAAACCAAUGGAUUCUUCUUUUUUGCCAUCUUCUACGUUCCCCC
rnacentral:misc_RNA from 1 species